rnacentral:lncRNA from 1 species
AUGACCUCCACGUGCCGCUCCAUGACCACCUCGACGUCCUCGUAGGUUUCCCUUUUGCUCUUUCCGCAUCUGGGUUUAACGGCAUGUUUGACCUAAUAAUGGGUAAAUGUGAGUGCAGGAAAUGGAGGAAAGAGAGAAGGUGGUGAGGCACAUGUGGGACGUGUACACGAAUAACCGUAGGAUCAGGUUGCCUCGGUUCUGGCAAGAGGCCUUCGAGGCUGCGUACGAGGAUUUGAGCAGUGACGUGGCGGAGGUUAGAGACGCUGCCAUCGCCGAGAUCGCUAACAUGUCUCUAAGCUCCUUUGAUAUUCAAUUGCCUCCUGUCACACAUUCUACGGUUUUUACUUCUCCUCCUUCUUAUUAAAUUUAUUGAACUCGAUUUAUCUGUGCCACUGCUUUUUUUUUUAUUAUUAUUAAGUAUUAUAUAACGAGUGAUCUUAUGAAGUAAAGAUUGGUUUGAAUUCCGAUCAAAAGUCGUGUCAGAUAUAACUUUUCACGCAGUUGUGGUUAAAACCCUAUACACUAAUGGUGCAUUUAUUGUUUCCUCUUUGAACCGUGUAAACAUGUUUUACAUUAUCAUUCACGUUCCUUAAUUUUGUUGACUGUUAUUUUAACUAUUUUAAUAACAUGAUUUCUUAUUAGCAGUAAAAGCUUUUAUUAUACUAACUUAUGCUUAUUGUCCACGUAUCUUUUAAGGUUUUCCGUUAGGGUAGUUAACUUGCGUUCAUGAAAUUUUUUUGAAAUGAAUCCUCUUGAGGAGGAACUUUUCUUCUAUUAGAUGGUUUACAACGUGGCUUGAUUUAUUUUUUUCAAUUAUCAGUGGAAGAAAGUUUUAUUUUGUUCAUCUUUGUUGGCUUGAUUACAUGUUUUGUUGCUUGUCUUGCUACAGUUCUUUGAUCUCUGCUUUGAUUCCAUUUUGACUCUCUUGGUUGUGUUAAAAUGUGCAAAUUGAAUUCCCUCUUGUGGCACUGCUGUUUUUUAACCAAGUCUGAGAAUUUUAGCUUAGGGCUUAAUUCCACCCCUAGGAAACUAACAUAUAAGGUGAGGACUGUCCAUGUUUUGUAUACCUAUUUACACCAUAUCUUAGUCGAUGUGAAACUAGAUAAACUUUCCAACAUAGCUAUUUAGGCAGCUCAAAGUAGCCGCAAGGCAGGGGUGACCACAAUUAAGGGGACUUUCCAAUCACUGAGAUAUUGCUACGUAGGGAACAUUUACUGCUACUGAAAAAUUAUCUGUUAAUGGGGGAUUUAAUUCCCAUCAACUUGAAAAGCCGGUGCAUAGCAUUGUUGAAAUAGGAACUGGGCGUCCACAAUAAUUAAAGGAGACAGAUGCGUAGGCCUCCCCUUUCUGCCCUGUCCUGGUGCCCCGUGCCUUGCUUACUCGUGCAAGAAUUGAAUCCCAUUCUGCGCAUUAGUGUAAGAGACAAAAUUGGACAGUAUAUGGAUUGUUGAAUUGUGUGAUACAAUUAAGAUAAUGUGGAAGUGUGGUCAGGAGGAAGGACUGCUUGGAAAAGAAAAUAAAAUGAAAAGGAAAAGUAUCUUGAUAAUUGUUGAGAUUGAAUUUCUUAUUUAGUCUAGUUGUUAUUGAAUUUCCAUUAUUACUGGUUGAAAGAGAUCCUUGGUGCGACCAUUAGAGUUGCUGCCAUGUAAUUCUGCCUGCGAUAUACUCGUAGUGGUGAGAGCCUUUAGCACCGUAUUCAGUAGCCUCUUUUUUAUAUAAUUAUUAGUUAAUUUAGGUAGAUUGUUUAAGUAUCGUAACUGGUGGUGACUCUCAAGGAUGUAAGCGUUUACAGAAAACAGACAGCUGUCUGCAAUUGUAAUUUGUGAUUUAGGGUAGCCGGCAUAACAUUGAAAAUUAAGUGUCUCCCCUUGUCUGAAUAUGUUGAGAACAUUCAACAUUAGUAUUAUUUCACAUUUUUCUUCCACAUAAAAGGGUAAGUUAAUGGGUGAGUUUUACGAGUGAACUUGUUUGUAUGAACAAUGUGGGGAUCAUAUAUGAUCAGAAGUGUUGGUAAGGCUUAUAAAUAAGACAUAAAUUCACUUGUGAGUUUUGAUGUUGUUGGUAAGUUGAUCUAAUGUUUUUCUCUUUAUUUACAUUUUUUGGGUAUUAAGGACGGGUAAAUUAACUUGUUUAUGUUUAUACUGAAUUUUUUAAGGAAAUGCUGAAAACAACAUAAAUUUAUAUCUUAUACUUCUUUAAGAAAAUCAAGAAAGCAAGAAAAGAAUGUAAAAGUUCAUCAAGAAAUGCCCCAACAUCCUUGUCUUAACCAGUUUCUUUGACUUGCUAGAAGCUGAUGCUUCAAUCUAGAUGUUUUUCGAAUGCAUGUAUCACUGCAUUUAUGUACCAUUUCAGAGAGCACAGGAAGUUGAUAAGAACCUGGAGCAAUUGGAGAAAGGUAAAGGUGCAACCUCCGAACGUGCAUAGAUAUUGGAAUGUGAAGCAACCAAAGGAUCGUGUUACCUUAUCU